rnacentral:rRNA from 1 species
UACGUAUGGUGCAAGCGUUGUUCGGGAUCAUUGGGCGUAAAGGGUAUGUAGGCGGGACUGUAAGUCGGGUGUGAAAACUACGAGCUCAACUCGUAGCCUGCACUUGAUACUGUGGUUCUGGAGUUUGGGAGAGGCAAGCGGAAUUCCUGGUGUAGCGGUGAAAUGCGUAGAUAUCAGGAGGAACACCGGUGGCGAAAGCGGCUUGCUGGCCUAAAACUGACGCUGAGAUACGAAAGUGUGGGGAGCGAACGGG